UACGUAGGGUGCAAGCGUUAUCCGGAAUUAUUGGGCGUAAAGAGCUCGUAGGCGGUCUGUCGCGUCUGCCGUGAAAUUUCGAGGCUCAACCUCGAACUUGCGGUGGGUACGGGCAGACUAGAGUGUGGUAGGGGAGACUGGAAUUCCUGGUGUAGCGGUGAAAUGCGCAGAUAUCAGGAGGAACACCGAUGGCGAAGGCAGGUCUCUGGGCCACUACUGACGCUGAGAAGCGAAAGCAUGGGGAGCAAACAGG
rnacentral:rRNA from 1 species